UACGUAGGGGGCGAGCGUUGUCCGGAAUUACUGGGCGUAAAGCGCGCGUAGGCGGGCAUUUAAGUCAGAUGUGAAACCUCUGGGCUUAACCUAGAGCAUGCAUCUGAUACUGGAUGUCUUGAGUGUAGAAGAGGAGAGUGGAAUUCCUAGUGUAGCGGUGAAAUGCGUAGAUAUUAGGAGGAACACCAGUGGCGAAGGCGACUCUCUGGUCUAUAACUGACGCUGAGGCGCGAAAGCGUGGGGAGCAAAC
rnacentral:rRNA from 1 species